AUUGAACGCUGGCGGAAUGCUUUACACAUGCAAGUCGAACGGCAGCACGGACUUCGGUCUGGUGGCGAGUGGCGAACGGGUGAGUAAUACAUCGGAACGUGCCCAGUCGUGGGGGAUAACGUAGCGAAAGCUACGCUAAUACCGCAUACGAUCUACGGAUGAGAGCGGGGGAUCGCAAGACCUCGCGCGAUUGGAGCGGCCGAUGGCAGAUUAGGUAGUUGGUGGGGUAAAGGCCCACCAAGCCGACGAUCUGUAGCUGGUCUGAGAGGACGACCAGCCACACUGGGACUGAGACACGGCCCAGACUCCUACGGGAGGCAGCAGUGGGGAAUUUUGGACAAUGGGCGAAAGCCUGAUCCAGCCAUUCCGCGUGCAGGAUGAAGGCCUUCGGGUUGUAAACUGCUUUUGUACGGAACGAAAAGGCUCUGGUUAAUACCCGGGGCUCAUGACGGUACCGGAAGAAUAAGGACCGGCUAACUACGUGCCAGCCGCCGCCGUAAUAC
rnacentral:rRNA from 1 species